rnacentral:misc_RNA from 1 species
GUUGCGCAAGGGAUAGCAACAAAAAGCCCACAGGGAGGCACGACCGAGGACUUGCAGUGAAUAGCCCGACCCGAU